rnacentral:rRNA from 1 species
AGAGUUUGAUCCUGGCUCAGGACGAACGCUGGCGGCGUGCCUAACACAUGCAAGUCGAGCGAAUGAAGUUCCUUCGGGAACGGAUUUAGCGGCGGACGGGUGAGUAACACGUGGGCAACCUGCCUCAUAGAGGGGAAUAGCCUUCCGAAAGGGAGAUUAAUACCGCAUAAGAUUGUAGUACCGCAUGGUACAGCAAUUAAAGGAGCAAUCCGCUAUGAGAUGGGCCCGCGGCGCAUUAGCUAGUUGGUGAGGUAACGGCUCACCAAGGCGACGAUGCGUAGCCGACCUGAGAGGGUGAUCGGCCACAUUGGGACUGAGACACGGCCCAGACUCCUACGGGAGGCAGCAGUGGGGAAUAUUGCACAAUGGGGGAAACCCUGAUGCAGCAACGCCGCGUGAGUGAUGACGGCCUUCGGGUUGUAAAGCUCUGUCUUCAGGGACGAUAAUGACGGUACCUGAGGAGGAAGCCACGGCUAACUACGUGCCAGCAGCCGCGGUAAGACGUAGGGGGCGAGCGUUGUCCGGAAUUACUGGGCGUAAAGAGCACGUAGGCGGAGACUUAAGUCAGAUGUGAAAGACCGGGGCUUAACCCCGGGGUUGCAUUUGAAACUGGGUCCCUUGAGGGCAGGAGAGGAAAGUAGAAUUCCUGGUGUAGCGGUGAAAUGCGUAGAAAUCAGGAGGAAUACCAGUGGCGAAGGCGACUUUCUGGACUGACCCUGACGCUGAGGUGCGAAAGCGUGGGUAGCAAACAGGAUUAGAUACCCUGGUAGUCCACGCCGUAAACGAUGGAUACUAGGUGUGGGAGGUAUCGACUCCUUCCGUGCCGGAGAUAACACAAUAAGUAUCCCGCCUGGGGAGUACGGUCGCAAGGCUGAAACUCAAAGGAAAAGACGGGGGCCCGCACAAGCGGUGGAGCAUGUGGUUUAAUUCGAUGCAACGCGAAGAACCUUACCAGGUCUUGACAUCCUACGGAUCUGUCUGAAAGGACGGAGUGCCUUCGGGAGCGUAGAGACAGGUGGUGCAUGGUUGUCGUCAGCUCGUGUCGUGAGAUGUUGGGUUAAGUCCCGCAACGAGCGCAACCCCCGCUAUUAGUUGCUAACAUUAAGAUGAGCACUCUAAUGGGACUGCCGGUGACAAGCCGGAGGAAGGUGGGGAGGACGUCAAAUCAUCAUGCCCUCUAUGACCUGGGCUACACACGUGCUACAAUGGAUGGUACAGAGAGCAGCAAUUCCGCGAGGCGAAGCGAAUCUCAAAAAGCCCUUCUCUGUUCGGGUUGGGGUCUGCGCCUCGGCUCCCCGCGGUCGGGGUCG